rnacentral:lncRNA from 1 species
GGACGGCCAUGUGCGCGGCGGAGAGGCCGGGUGGCCACCGAACCUUCCCGCCUGUUCUGCGGUGGGUAGGAGUUUGGAAACUAAUGUUCCUGUGCUAACCUUCGUGUCUCUGUGACAUGACUGUUGAAAGACGGAGAGUGCGGAAUCUUUGGAGUUUUAAGCUUGCCAACUGUGCGGCCUAGCAGAAUCCUGGGAGACGGAAGGACAGCCAAGAGGCUAGGAUUUACCUUUAAGUGUCCCUAGAUUCAACUAGGCAGACUGGGACGGGAGACGCUGUGAAGGUACCAGGGAAGGAACGAGUGAGGUUCCUUUUCCACUUUUUCAUAAACUCAACAGUCAGGUUCAUGACGAAGAUAUAGAUAUUUCUGUAGAUUUUUUCCCCAACAUUCUAAUUAUGCCUCAUGUUUCGUAGAUCCUAGUAACUGCUUGGAUUACUGCCACCUCAGAGGGGCGUCUGGGCAUGGCUUUCCCAACCUAGUAACUGCAACUUUUAGCAUCCUACAUGUAGGACUUGGGAAUAUGUGAGACAGCGCCAAGAAUUUAAUCCAGGAGAAUUGACAAGCUUAAAUGAAAUCCAUAUUGCCCACUGAUUUUGUGCAGCUUCAGAUAAGUAAUCUUUCUCCACUUAGCCUUUUGUAACAAUUGAUGUAAUAAAGGUUUGUAGUCUUUGUGUAAUUUAUUAAAGCAUUGUGCCUAAAAUAGAAAAAAAGCAUAGGAACCAUAGGCUGUGUUUUCUUUUGAUUUAAUAUUUUCAUUUCUUCAGUUAAUAGAAAUUUGCCAAAUUC